rnacentral:rRNA from 1 species
UACGUAGGGCGCAAGCGUUGUCCGGAAUUAUUGGGCGUAAAGAGCUCGUAGGCGGUUUGUCGCGUCUGCUGUGAAAACCUAAGGCUCAACCUUGGGCUUGCAGUGGGUACGGGCAGACUAGAGUGUCGGUAGGGGAUGACUGGAAUUCCUGGUGUAGCGGUGAAGUGCGCAGAUAUCAGGAGGAACACCUAUUGCGAAGGCAGCUCGCUGGGACGUUACUGACGCUGGAGACGCGAAAGCGUGGGGAGCAAACAGG